rnacentral:rRNA from 1 species
GCCUAACACAUGCAAGUCGAGCGGUAGCACAGAGAGCUUGCUCUCGGGUGACGAGCGGCGGACGGGUGAGUAAUGUCUGGGAAACUGCCUGAUGGAGGGGGAUAACUACUGGAAACGGUAGCUAAUACCGCAUAACGUCGCAAGACCAAAGUGGGGGACCUUCGGGCCUCAUGCCAUCAGAUGUGCCCAGAUGGGAUUAGCUAGUAGGUGGGGUAACGGCUCACCUAGGCGACGAUCCCUAGCUGGUCUGAGAGGAUGACCAGCCACACUGGAACUGAGACACGGUCCAGACUCCUACGGGAGGCAGCAGUGGGGAAUAUUGCACAAUGGGCGCAAGCCUGAUGCAGCCAUGCCGCGUGUGUGAAGAAGGCCUUCGGGUUGUAAAGCACUUUCAGCGGGGAGGAAGGCGUUAAGGUUAAUAACCUUGGCGAUUGACGUUACCCGCAGAAGAAGCACCGGCUAACUCCGUGCCAGCAGCCGCGGUAAUACGGAGGGUGCAAGCGUUAAUCGGAAUUACUGGGCGUAAAGCGCACGCAGGCGGUCUGUCAAGUCGGAUGUGAAAUCCCCGGGCUCAACCUGGGAACUGCAUUCGAAACUGGCAGGCUAGAGUCUUGUAGAGGGGGGUAGAAUUCCAGGUGUAGCGGUGAAAUGCGUAGAGAUCUGGAGGAAUACCGGUGGCGAAGGCGGCCCCCUGGACAAAGACUGACGCUCAGGUGCGAAAGCGUGGGGAGCAAACAGGAUUAGAUACCCUGGUAGUCCACGCUGUAAACGAUGUCGAUUUGGAGGUUGUGCCCUUGAGGCGUGGCUUCCGGAGCUAACGCGUUAAAUCGACCGCCUGGGGAGUACGGCCGCAAGGUUAAAACUCAAAUGAAUUGACGGGGGCCCGCACAAGCGGUGGAGCAUGUGGUUUAAUUCGAUGCAACGCGAAGAACCUUACCUGGUCUUGACAUCCACAGAACUUAGCAGAGAUGCUUUGGUGCCUUCGGGAACUGUGAGACAGGUGCUGCAUGGCUGUCGUCAGCUCGUGUUGUGAAAUGUUGGGUUAAGUCCCGCAACGAGCGCAACCCUUAUCCUUUGUUGCCAGCGGUUAGGCCGGGAACUCAAAGGAGACUGCCAGUGAUAAACUGGAGGAAGGUGGGGAUGACGUCAAGUCAUCAUGGCCCUUACGACCAGGGCUACACACGUGCUACAAUGGCAUAUACAAAGAGAAGCGACCUCGCGAGAGCAAGCGGACCUCAUAAAGUAUGUCGUAGUCCGGAUUGGAGUCUGCAACUCGACUCCAUGAAGUCGGAAUCGCUAGUAAUCGUAGAUCAGAAUGCUACGGUGAAUACGUUCCCGGGCCUUGUACACACCGCCCGUCACACCAUGGGAGUGGGUUGCAAAAGAAGUAGGUAGCUUAACCUUCGGGAGGGCGCUUACCACU